ensembl:lncRNA uncharacterized LOC115174767
UCAGCCAUGUUCAGAACAUGGGUCCACUGGGGGAAAGAUUUGGUGAGUAGUGGUGACGUCAGGCCGUCUGGUUAAGUAGCCAAUAUAAAAAAAAUCCUAGCUGGAGGCGCAUUUCCUCGAAACAGCAGAACUUGCCCGACUUGCUGUCGGUGCACAUAUACUGUGUUGAAAAGGGAUAAAUGGGCCCAAAAUCUGUCUUCUCCAGCAGGUGGCGUUUUUUCGAUUUUUUUUUUUCGCUCACCAAGCGAGGAGUUUUUAUAUGGAGGUCAAUGAGAGGGUGUCAAAUUUGGUUAACAAAAAAUGUAAUGGCUUAUUUGCUACGUGCGGCUUUUGAUUGAAUAUGUUCCUUAAUGCUUCGGUUGUUAAGUGUACUGAUAUAAGUAGGACACGUGACAUCCCGGGAACUUUGAGAAAAAAAACACUUUAUAUAGGCGUUGUGCCUGUUAUCGCGUUCGUAUCUGCCCUCUCAUUGGCUAGAAUGGUCCACCUGUCUUGCCUCUUCCCGACUGCACUCCAUUUUAAAGACAUUUAUUUUCAUUGUUAGAGUGGCCAAUGGAGUAUCUGGCCAAUAUAAUGGAUAAUCUGUGAUAUGUACCUUCAUCGACUUUAUUCGUCGACUUCCGUCUACAGUCGGCUACUUUCGGUUUACCACUCAAACGCACGCAGUGCCUACAAGUGUGAAGUACUGGAGAAGCUUAGUUUCUGUAUUGUCCAUACUAUUCGGGGAUGCUUGUUUCACUUUACAAGAAAUCAUGUCAGUACAAUUUCUGGUAAAGGAUACCGAUAAUUUGCCGUUUUUGACGUCCAACUCAUCCAACCCACUGUCAUUGCAUUAAAACCAAAUCUAAACCCAGUGACUGUUUCGUAUGGCCUGUCUGAUCUUGGCAGCGUGAUAAAAGUCGAUAUUAAACAGCAGCAGGUCAGAGCAGCUGGGAUCUUUCCUAUUUCCCUACAGCAGCAUCAGUGUGAAAGUACAAGUAUGAGUCAGGCAAGGACAAUGAGUUUGGAAGAGGAAAUCAGGGGCCUCUCACCAGUUGCAGCACAUGCCCUGGCAUGUGCUGAAAUUACAGAUGACAUUGAAAUUCAAGAGUUAACAAGAGCAGAUCUGAACGAACUUCUGCCAGGCGUUCAGCAUUUUAAACUUAGAAAGAAGAUCAGUGAACUUAUAAACAAAUCUAAACAGGACACAGCUAAACCUAUUGCUUUAGUUCUUAACGAGCUGAAGGAAUUCCUUCCAGUUGAUGUCAUGGAGAAUGCACUUGUUCCUGGGGGAGUAUUACAUGGCUACUUACCUAUUCUUAGAGAUUUGGAGAAGCAGCUGGGCAAAGCCCUGCACUUCAUUCAGGCACAUGUUGGUUUGCUCCAGAGCUACAUUGGAGAAGAGUCCAUGGAGGCUCAGAGCAGUGCUGCAUCUCCAUCAGUUGACUCUGCUACAGCAGGAAACCAGCCAUCAAAUGUUGCAGGUGCUGACACCCAGUUACAAAGAGGAAUAACAGGAGCUCCUCAAAGUUCCACUGGUAGUGGGUUGACCGAGCCACAAGGCAAUCUAUUGAAAUCACACUCCGCUCAUCCUUCAGGAGCAGGUGCUGACACCCAGUUACAAAGAGGAAUAACAGGAGCUCCUCAAAGUUCCACUGGUAGUGGGUUGACCGAGCCACAAGGCAAUCUAUUGAAAUCACACUCAGCUCAUCCUUCAGGAGCAGGAGAUACGAGGUCAUUUGUAGAUUGUAUUUCACAGAGCAUUUUUGGAAAGAAUCUUUUGGGGAGAGGAAAUGAAGCUCAAAUUGAGAAACAACCAGUUAAAGUCCAUUCACGAGUUUGUGGAAAAACCCUGAACACUCACCUUGCACUCAUGAAACAAGUGGCAGUAGGACUUAAGCAAGAGGAGACCAGUGCAGAGGACUGCCAAGUCAUAAUAGCCUUCUGUCCUAUUAUAUCUCGUGUGGGAACGGAUAUUGAUGCCGCCUUGAACCAAAUUACAAGUAACAAAGAUGUCAUUCUAGUGGUGAUGCACCAUACCUUUGAUCGCUGCUUUGUCACAAGCCAGAGAUCUGCAUCUCACUACAAAAACGUAGUGGAGGAAGUUAAUGUUCUCUUCCAUGACUCUGUGGGACUUCUGCGUUGUGAAACAAAUGAUAAAGCAGUGACUCUCAUACACAAGGCCUUACAGAAAUACAGCAGCACUACUUACAUACAUGUUGUUGCCACCAGGGGUUGCAAGUAA